UACGGGGGCUCCAAGCGUUGUCCGGUAUCAUUGGGCGUAAAGAGUUAUGUAGGCGGUUUGUCGCGUCUGCCGUGAAAAUUCGAGGCUCAACCUCGAACUUGCGGUGGGUACGGGCAGACUAGAGUGUGGUAGGGGAGACUGGAAUUCCUGGUGUAGCGGUGAAAUGCGCAGAUAUCUGGAGGAAUACCGGUGGCGAAGGCGGCAUCCUGGACCGAGAUUGACGCUGAGGAGCGAAAGCUAGGGGAGCAAACGGG
rnacentral:rRNA from 1 species